UGCAUUUACUAUCGGGGGUGGGGAUCGAAUUAACGUUUAGAGUCGAGUUUACUUUCUCAUCAAAGAGAAGAAGGACUUCUUCUUAAAUACACGUCUGUAUAAGAGAUGGUGAUACUUGAAAAGAACACUCGUUCCUUCUUAACUAUCUAAGCGAGAGUAUUAGCCACUCGAACGAACGAACGAACGAACUCGAAGAAACUAUGAGAACGGUAAUGGAAUAACAACGAUGACGAUACUUGGGGGAUUGGUAUCAAGAACCAGAUGCAAAUUAAAUGUAUGAUAAAAGGAAAAACAAAAAAGAAAAAAUUGUUAACAACGUUGAAUAAUUUUCAUCAAUUAUGAUUAUGAAAAGUAUUUUGGGGGAUUGAAAAAUCAGACAAAGAAGUAGAAAGAAGUUACUUGAUAAAGGAUUAAUAAAUAAAUCAUGAAACCAUUGGUUGAAUCAUUUCACUGUUCAUCCCAAAAAGUCUGUUGGGUCCCCGUUAAAGGAGCGAAAGCGAUACAACUACCACGCCUUGAUAAAGUUCGG